rnacentral:piRNA from 1 species
UGGCCAUCUAGCUGUCCUAUCAGAAGCUC